AUGAAAUGAAUGUCGAAAAGGGUUGUAGCUGGCCUCUUGAGGCAUGUGCACACCUUGAUCGCACAUCCACAUCUCACACCUGUGCACAACCUGUAGCUUGGGAUGAUUACAAUGCUGGGAACAGUAUUGAAAGCCCUUGCUAUGAAAUUUUACACACACAAUGUUAUGCAUGUUGGCUGGCAUAUAUAAUAUUUAUAUAUA
rnacentral:misc_RNA from 1 species